rnacentral:rRNA from 1 species
AUGGGGAUUUGCCAAUGGGCGAAAGCCUGAUGCAGCCUGCCGCGUGUAUGAAGAAGGCCUUCGGGUUGUAAAGUACUUUCAGUUGUGAGGAAGGGGGUGUCGUUAAUAGCGGCAUCUCUUGACGUUAGCAACAGAAGAAGCACCGGCUAACUCCGUGCCAGCAGCCGCGGUAAUACGGAGGGUGCGAGCGUUAAUCGGAAUUACUGGGCGUAAAGCGCAUGCAGGUGGUUCAUUAAGUCAGAUGUGAAAGCCCGGGGCUCAACCUCGGAACUGCAUUUGAAACUGGUGAACUUAGAGUACUGUAGAGGGGGGUAGAAUUUCAGGUGUAGCGGUGAAAUGCGUAGAGAUCUGAAGGAAUACCAGUGGCGAAGGCGGCCCCCUGGACAGAUACUUGACACUCAGAUGCGAAAGCGUGGGGAGCAAACAGGAUUAGAUACCCUGGUAGUCCACGCCGUAAACGAUGUCUACUUGGAGGUUGUGGCCUUGAGCCGUGGCUUUCGGAGCUAACGCGUUAAGUAGACCGCCUGGGGAGUACGGUCGCAAGAUUAAAACUCAAAUGAAUUGACGGGGGCCCGCACAAGCGGUGGAGCAUGUGGUUUAAUUCGAUGCAACGCGAAGAACCUUACCUACUCUUGACAUCCAGAGAAGCCAGCGGAGACGCAGGUGUGCUUCGGGAGUCUGAGACAGGGUGC